rnacentral:tRNA from 1 species
GCCUCUGUAGCUCAGUUGGUUAGAGCGCUGCAGCGGAAUCGCAGUGCCGUAGGUUCAAUUCCUACCAGAGGAC